UCCCCCUUCGCUCGGAUCUCUCCCGGUCUCUCUCCUCUGCGGGAUAAAGAAACCCCAUGGAGCGAGCACCAACCCGAACCGAAUCCGAAUAUCUUCUCGGACUAUCCGCGCACUUCUUGACCCUCCGGAACCUACCCAUGUGCCGGCAAUACGCCCUCCGAGUCAGAGAAUCCGGCACCGACAAACACUCCGUCUCCGACCAGAUCCUCUCCGUCGCCGACGUCCUACACGCCGCCGAGAACCGCCUUUGUAACCGACAUCUUGACUACUUGUCCAUCCUCCAGAUCCGCCGGGUCGACUCUGGGAACCGCCACCUCGUUCAGAGCCAGUACGAGAAGCUCGCGGCUCUCCUUAACCCCAACGUUAACAAGUUCGCUUUCUCCCAGGACGCCCUCGGACUCGUCUGGGAAGCUUGGUCUGUGCUCUCUGACCCAGAAAAGAAGGCCCAGUACGAGAAGGAAAUCGGCUUUCCGGAAAAGCGCAACGAGCACAAGGAGAAGAAAGCGACCGAGAGCGAGGGUACUGACACAUUCUGGACCUUGUGUCCGUACUGUUACUGCAUGUACGAGUACGAGAAGGAUUACGAGGGAUGUUGCCUUAGGUGCCAGAACUGUAGGCGGGCGUUUCAUGGGAUGGCGGUAAAUGCGCCGCCGAAGAGUAUAUUGGUGGAGGAAGGGACUGGGAAGGAGCGGUACCAUUGUUGCUGGGCCUAUUUUCCUCUGGGGUAUAACAAAGGAGCAGAGAGCCGUAGGAAGGGGAAUGCCGGAAUCGAUGUGGGAAGGGAGAAGAGGAACGUGAAUACUGUGGCUAGGAAAACCAAUAAUAUUAUGAGGAGUAGGAGGAAUGGAUUGGCAAGAACGAAUUCGAACUUGGAAUUUGGAGAGGCAAGUGGGAGUGGAAACGGUGAGGGUGGGUUGGAAUUCUAUGAGGGGGAUGAUGAUGUCUAUGUUGGUAUAGUGGCUACGCCCUGACGCUUGAUGGUGAGAAUUGGAAAUGCUGAGGGACUCAACUCAAUAGGUUUGUAAAGUUUCGAAGUUUCAAGUCAGGAACGUGUACAUACAAAAUAGCAUUUCUCGAGGACUUAUCUCAACUGAUUCCAUGGGCAGCAGAUCAUUCUUCAAACCAAAAUCAAAAGUCAGACCAAACAACUCAAUGCCAAGAAACACGGCGAGGCAGAGAGGAGACGUAGGAGGCGAAUCAAUGAUCAAUACCACACUCUUCACAAGAUCCUCCCAAGCUUAAUCAAAGUAAGAAAUACAAACUAAUCAGAGAGUAUUAUUUGUGAAUUCAUGAACUUUGUUAUUUCAUUGUUAUCAUCAAAACAUGUAAUAAAAUCGAUGUAUUUAUCUCAACUAUGAUUCCAAACCAUGCACAAAUAUACAUGUGCAGGAUCGUGUGUAAUUCAAAUGAACAGAUGACAAGGCAACGGUGCUUGCUGAGACGGUGAGGCAAGUGACGGAGCUGCGGAAGACAGCCUCAGAUUUGGAAGCAGUAUGCGAUGGUAGCAAUAAGGACUGCAUGUUCCCAUGCGAGGCAGACAAGCUGACUUUGGAACACUGUGAUGAUGAUUGGGAGGCGGUUAUGGUCAUGUUCAGCUGCGAGGAUAGGCCAGGAUUGAUGUCAGCCAUGGAAAGGGCACUCAGGUCAGUGCAAGGGGUGACGUCUGAGAUGGUGACAGUGGGUGGGAGGACCAAGAGUGUGUUGUGGGUGCAAGGGCUAAAUGGUGGCAAUGCUGAAGGGAUUGUAAAGCUAAGGAGAGCUUUGAAGGGAGAUCAUAGACAGGCCCAUCUUGCCAGGGAUCGCGAAGAAGCGACAGCUCGCUCGAUGAACCUUCAGUUAAUGCAUGAAUUCCAUAGCUCUAGAUACAUUCUAAGAUGGGUGGUUUAAAAAACUGAUGGUUUCUCCAAGUUCGGAUGUUUCUUCUUUUAUUUUCAAUUUCAAUUUUAUUUUCAGUUUAGUAAGUCUAUCUGAUCAUGUUGAUUGGUGA